GCGAACGGGUGAGUAAUGUAUCGGAACGUGCCCAGUCGUGGGGGAUAACGUAGUGAAAAUUACGCUAAUACCGCAUACGAUCUAUGGAUGAAAGCGGGGGAUCGCAAGACCUCGCGCGAUUGGAGCGGCCGAUAUCAGAUUAGGUAGUUGGUAGGGUAAAGGCCUACCAAGCCAACGAUCUGUAGCUGGUCUGAGAGGACGACCAGCCACACUGGAACUGAGACACGGUCCAGACUCCUACGGGAGGCAGCAGUGGGGAAUUUUGGACAAUGGGCGAAAGCCUGAUCCAGCCAUUCCGCGUGCAGGAUGAAGGCCCUCGGGUUGUAAACUGCUUUUGUACAGAACGAAAAGGUCUCUAUUAAUACUAGGGGCUCAUGACGGUACUGUAAGAAUAAGCACCGGCUAACUACGUGCCAGCAGCCGCGGUAAUACGUAGGGUGCAAGCGUUAAUAGGAAUUACUGGGCGUAAAGCGUGCGCAGGCGGUUAUAUAAGUCAGAUGUGAAAUCCCCGGGCUCAACCUGGGAACUGCAUUUGAGACUGUAUAGCUAGAGUACGGUAGAGGGGGAUGGAAUUCCGCGUGUAGCAGUGAAAUGCGUAGAUAUGCGGAGGAACACCGAUGGCGAAAGCAAUCCCCUGGACCUGUACUGACGCUCAUGCACGAAAGCGUGGGGAGCAAACAGGAUUAGAUACCCUGGUAGUCCACGCCCUAAACGAUGUCAACUGGUUUGUUGGGUCUUAACUGACUCAGUAACGAAGCUAACGCGUGAAGUUGACCGCCUGGGGAGUACGGCCGCAGGUUGAAACUCAAAGGAAUUGACGG
rnacentral:rRNA from 1 species